rnacentral:rRNA from 1 species
GGUACGGGUUGUGAGAGCAAGAGCCCGGAGAUGGAUUCUGAGACACGAAUCCAGGCCCUACGGGGUGCAGCAGGCGCGAAAACUUUACAAUGCUGGCAACAGCGAUAAGGGAACCUCGAGUGCCAGGUUACAAAUCUGGCUGUCGAGAUGCCUAAAAAGCAUUUCAUAGCAAGGGCCGGGCAAGACCGGUGCCAGCCGCCGCGGUAACACCGGCGGCUCGAGUGGUAACCGUUAUUAUUGGGUCUAAAGGGUCUGUAGCCGGCCGGAUAAGUCUCUUGGGAAAUCCAGCAGCUCAACUGUUGGGCUUUCAGGAGAUACUGUCUGGCUCGAGGCCGGGAGAGGUGAGAGGUACUUCAGGGGUAGGGGUGAAAUCUUGUAAUCCUUGAAGGACCACCAGUGGCGAAGGCGUCUCACCAGAACGGACCUGACGGCAAGGGACGAAAGCUAGGGGCACGAACCGGAUUAGAUACCCGGGUAGUCCUAGCCGUAAACGAUACUCGCUAGGUGUCGGCCACGGUGCGACCGUUGUCGGUGCCGUAGGGAAGCCGUGAAGCGAGC